rnacentral:lncRNA from 1 species
ACCGACCGUCUCUAGAGCAAGUGACAAAGGGCUUGGUGGUUGGUACCCGAGACCCAAGUUUGAAUCCUAGUUGAUUCACAUUUCUUGUUAAAACGAAGCGGAUAGCGUGCUACCUAUCUCUCAAAAAAAAAAAAAUUAUAAAUUCAUCUCUAUUAUAAGUUUUAAUUAUCACAAUAUAUUCCUUUAAAGCUUCAAAAUAUGCAAAUUUAUCUUAACUACCGUUUGUUAACGGUUAAGUUUUUGCCGUUUGGACUGUUAUAUCUUUGGAAAAAAAUAAAUUUUUAAAAUCUUUUUCAGGAUGUAUUAUUUAUGAUUUUAGUAGAAUGAUACGUAAGUUAUAAUAAAAAUAAUUUAAAAUAAUAAAUAAUAUUAAAUAUAAUUAAAAGUGCAUAUUGAAGGAUAGAAUGGUUAUUUUACAUAACAAGGUCAACACUAAUCUGUCAACUAAUAUAGAAAGGUAUAUAUUAAGCACUAUUAUGCUAAUUUGGAGAAAUAUAUUUGAUAACUGAAGCUUUAUAUGAAAAAAUAUAUAUAUAAUUUUCUUGUUUCAUAGGGAUACACUUAUUAUAUUUAUCAAUAAUUUAAAAAUCGGGAUUGACCGUCCCUAGUUCAAGUGGCAAAAGGCCUGCUUGUUGAUACCCGAGAUCCCCGGUUCGAAGUCUAGUUAUUUCAUAUUUCUAACUAAGUUUAUUAUUUCUAAAAUGAAAUAAACGAAAUGGAUAGCAUGUUACCUUCCUCUCAAAAAAAAAAAAUUUAAAAAUCGGGACGAAUCUGCCGGUUC